rnacentral:misc_RNA from 1 species
AACGCACAUUGCGCCCUUUGGUAUUCCGAAGGGCAUGCCUGUUUGAGUGUCUUAUAAACCUCACCUCUAUAGUUUUCUAUAGUUGUGCUUUGGGUGUUGCCGUUUACUCUGGCUCGCCUUAAAUGUCUAAGUGGAAUGCGUAAUAAGUUCUCGCAACCCUCCACUCUAACACACUUUAUAUUCUGACCUCAAAUCAGGUAGGACUACCCGCUGAACUUAA